AGUGAACGCUGGCGGUAGGCCUAACACAUGCAAGUCGAACGGCAGCACAGUAAGAGCUUGCUCUUACGGGUGGCGAGUGGCGGACGGGUGAGGAAUACAUCGGAAUCUACUUUUUCGUGGGGGAUAACGUAGGGAAACUUACGCUAAUACCGCAUACGACCUACGGGGGAAAGCAGGUGAUCUUCGGACCUUUCGCGAUUGAAUGAGCCGAUGCGGGUUUAGCUAGUUGGCGGGGUAAAGGCCCACCAAGGCGACGAUCCGUAGCUCGUCGGAGAGGAUGAUCAGCCGCACUGGAGCGGAGACACGGUCCAGACUCCUACGAGAGGGAGCAGUGGGGAAUAUUGGGCAAUGGGCGGAAGCCUGAUCCAGCCAUACCGCGUCGGUGAAGAAGGCCUUCGGGGUGUAAAGCCCGUUUGUUGGGAGAGAAAAGCAGCAGGUUAAUAACCCGCUGUUCUGACGGUACCCAAAGAAUAAGCACCGGCUAACUUCGUG
rnacentral:rRNA from 1 species